GCGAGUGAGCGGCAGAGCUCAAUUUGAAGCUGGCCCCCUCGGGUCCGCGUUGUAAUUUGCAGAGGAUGCUUCGGGUGCAGCCCCCGUCUAAGUGCCCUGGAACGGGCCGUCAUAGAGGGUGAGAAUCCCGUCUGGGACGGGGUGUCUGCGUCCGUGUGAAGCUCCUUCGACGAGUCGAGUUGUUUGGGAAUGCAGCUCUAAAUGGGUGGUAAAUUUCAUCUAAAGCUAAAUACUGGCCGGAGACCGAUAGCGCACAAGUAGAGUGAUCGAAAGAUGAAAAGCACUUUGAAAAGAGAGUUAAACAGCACGUGAAAUUGUUGAAAGGGAAGCGUUUGCGACCAGACUCGCCCGCGGGGUUCAGCCGGCAUUCGUGCCGGUGUACUUCCCCGUGGGCGGGCCAGCGUCGGUUUGGGCGCCGGUCAAAGGCCCUCGGAAUGUAUCACCUCUCGGGGUGUCUUAUAGCCGAGGGUGCAAUGCGGCCUGCCCGGACCGAGGAACGCGCUUCGGCUCGGACGCUGGCGUAAUGUCGCAAAUGACCCGUCU
rnacentral:rRNA from 1 species